GCUGGGGGCUGUGGUGUACACCUGUAAUCCCAGCAGCAUGGGAGGCUGAGACAGGAGGAUCGAGAGUUCAAAGCCAGCCUCAGCAACUUAACAAAGUCUUAAGCAACUCAGUGAGACCCUGUCUCAA
rnacentral:sRNA from 1 species